rnacentral:lncRNA from 1 species
GGGAUUGACAAGAGAGGAGAUGGUGGAACCAAAAUAAGCACAGGAACUCCUUAUUCAAUCUUGGAAACUUCCAUCUAUGAUGUUGUGACUAAAGCAUUCAUCGAUGAGUUAUCUAAUGCAACCAGAGUGGCUGCUGUGGCACCUUUCGAGACAUGUUUCAGCUCAAAAAGUGUUGGUAGCACGAGGGUUGGACCAGCUGUUCCUACCAUUGAUCUUGUGUUGCAGACUACACGAGUAUAUUGGAGGAUUUUUGGCGCAAAUUCAAUGGUGAAAGUUAGCCAAGAUGUGAUCUGCUUAGGAUUUGUGAAUGGAGGGAUUAAACCUACUACUUCAAUAGUUAUAGGAGGAUAUCAACUUGCGGACAAUCUUCUACAGUUUGAUCUUGCCAAAUCAACACUUGGUUUUAGCUCAUCCCUUUUGUUCCACCAAACUACAUGUGCCAAUUUCAACUUCACAACCAUGGCUUAAAAAAACUGUCCUUUAGCAGUAUCUUUCCCCCAUUCCAGAAUUCUUUAAUAAAAGAGAAAAGAAACAUAUACUGUUGAAACUUUAUAAUCAAUCAGAAUAAUGUGAACUCUUUCCAGAUGAUUCUUUAUUUCUAUCAGUAUGCAUAAUAUUCUAGAUACAAUGUUCCUCCAUCAUUAAAUAGUAAAUACACAACAAAAUAUGAUAAAAACUGCAAAAGUGCAUUCACUAAAAUGCACAAUGCUGAAUUGUUAUAAACCAAAGCCAAUGAGACAUAUUUACAACUGCUUUACUAACCAAUCCUAGUGACUAGUGAGCAUUCAGACUCAAAAUAUAAUAAAAGUAAACUCUAAUAUUCUCAAUUUGGCUAGCCUCAUUUCAUAGAAAUCUUCUUCUUAGACAUCUCUUCCAACAAGUAUUUGGAUUCUGCUGCAUAAUCAACUGAAGCAACAGCUCUUACUGUUAUCCUUUGCCUUUUCUCAUUGUUGUACCUUUUUGCUGUCUAGCUUUUCAUUUGAUAUGCAGUUUCUCCCUCUUGAGAAAUAGGAAUAUUCAGAUAAGUUAGCCACAAACUGUCUAAGACAUAAAACAAGCACAAAAAUGAAAGGUUCUGAGAAUUGUUUUACCUCUGAUUUCAGCUUGUCAAGUUCAUCAGCAGAGUAUUUUCUCUGCUUGAUCAUUGAAUGCAGAGAGCUACGCUUCACCGCUUGCAUCAGAAAAAUUCAAUGCCAUUAUAUAUCUGGGACCAAUUAAUGUAUAUUUUCAUUAAGUUAUAUCGAAUGGUGUAAACAUGAACAAAAAUUGUGGAAUAAGUGGAGCAUUCUGAAGUCAAAUGUCAAAUUAUGCAUCUGUAUUCCAAUUUGCUGACUUUUUCUUCCUUGUCAAAAAUAUCUCUCUGUCAUAACUCAUAUCCAUUGCAAAAUCAUUGACUUAUUUAAAUAAGCGAUGGAGUUGACUUGAAAACAAUCCUUCUAUAAAACAAAACAUGAAUAUUCUUCACAAUUUCAUACUUCCACAUCACAUCUUAAUCUUGUAUCAUGUCUUUCACUAGCUACUGUUUGAUCCUUUUUUGUUCACUUCUCCUCUCCAUUUCUUCUUAUUGCAUAGGCCAAACUUCUUCUCCCCAGACCAAAGCAUUCAUUCUUCCUGUGACCAAAGACUCAUCUACUCUACAAUACAUCACACAAAUUGGUCAAAGAACUCCUCUUGUGCCCAUUAAGUUAACAAUUCAUCUUGGUGGACAAACUUUAUGGGUAGACUGUGAGAAUGGUUAUGUGAGUUCCACUUAUCAACCGCUUCUUUGUGGCUCAACUCAAUGUACCAUCGCCAAAGUUGACACUUGUGCAAACUGCAGCACCAGUGCUCCCAAGAUUGGCUGCAACGAUAAUGCAUGUUACAACACCCCAGAGAAUCCAUUCAUCAAGACUUUAUAUAGUGGUGGACAACUUAAUGAAGAUGUAUUAUCGAUUCAAUCCACUGAUGGAUCAAAUCCUGGUAAGUUUGUCAAGAUCCCAAAUUUCAUUUUCACUUGUGCUCCUACAUUCUUGACUGAAGGUUUAGCUAGUGAGGUGAAAGGUACUGUUGGAUUGGGAAGGAAUCGUAUCGCGCUUCCUUCCCAAUUAGCUGAAAUCUUCAGCUUUCCAAGAAAAUUUGCUGUUUGUUUAAGUUCAUCCACACAAUCUUCUGGUGUCAUAUUUUUUGGUGAUGGCAUGAUGCUUCCAAAUAUUGAUGUCUCAAAAGAUCUCAUCAUUACGCCGUUGAUCACCAACCCUUUUGGUACUGGAUCUGUUCCUUCCCUGAAUGAACCUUCCUCAGAGUACUACAUUGGAGUGAAAUCUAUUAGAGUCAAUGGCAAACCAGUGACAAUUAACAAAAAAUUGCUAGGGGUUGACAAGAGCGGAAAUGGUGGAACCAAAAUCAGCACAGGGAGUCCUUAUUCAAUGUUGGAAUCUUCCAUCUAUAAUGUUGUGACUAAAGCAUUCAUCGAUGAGUUAUCUAAUGCGACCAGAGUGGCUGCUGUGGCACCUUUCGAGACAUGCUUCAGCUCAAAAAGUGUUGGUAGCACAAGGGUUGGACCAGCUGUUCCUACCAUUGAUCUUGUGUUGCAGACUACACGAGUUUAUUGGAGGAUUUUUGGCGCAAAUUCAAUGGUGAAAGUUAGCCAAGAUGUG